rnacentral:rRNA from 1 species
AUUGAACGCUGGCGGCAUGCCUUACACAUGCAAGUCGAACGGCAGCACGGGAGCAAUCCUGGUGGCGAGUGGCGAACGGGUGAGUAAUAUAUCGGAACGUGCCCAGUCGUGGGGGAUAACGCAGCGAAAGCUGUGCUAAUACCGCAUACGAUCUACGGAUGAAAGCGGGGGAUCGCAAGACCUCGCGCGAUUGGAGCGGCCGAUAUCAGAUUAGCUAGUUGGUGGGGUAAAGGCUCACCAAGGCGGCGAUCUGUAGCUGGUCUGAGAGGACGACCAGCCACAUUGGAACUGAGAAACGGUCCAGACUCCUACGGGAGGCAGCAGUGGGGAAUUUUGGACAAUGGGCGAAAGCCUGAUCCAGCAAUGCCGCGUGCAGGAUGAAGGCCUUCGGGUUGUAAACUGCUUUUGUACGGAACGAAACGGUGAGCUCUAAUACAGUUUGCUAAUGACGGUACCGUAAGAAUAAGCACCGGCUAACUACGUGCCAGCCGCCGCCGUAAUAC